rnacentral:rRNA from 1 species
ACUGCUCAGUAACACGUGGAUAACCUGCCCUAAGGAAGGGGAUAACCUCGGGAAACUGAGGAUAAUACCCUAUAGGUUACAGAUGCUGGAAUGCCCUGUAACCGAAAGCUCCGGCGCCUUAGGAUGGAUCUGCGGCCGAUUAGGUUGUUGUUGGGGUAACGGCCCAACAAGCCGAUAAUCGGUACGGGUUGUGGGAGCAAGAGCCCGGAGUUGGAUUCUGAGACACGAAUCCAGGCCCUACGGGGCGCAGCAGGCGCGAAAACUUUACAAUGCGGGAAACCGUGAUAAGGGAACCCCGAGUGCCUGUAUAUGCAGGCUGUCCAGGUGUCUAAAAAACACCUGAAGAAAGGGCCGGGCAAGACCGGCGCCAGCCGCCGCGGUAAUACCGGCGGCUCGAGUGGUGGCCACUUUUAUUGGGCUUAAAGCGUUCGUAGCUGGGUUGUUAAGUCUCUUGGGAAAUCUGACGGCUUAACCGUCAGGCGUCUAAGAGAUACUGGCAAUCUUGGAACCGGGAGAGGUGAGGGGUACUUCGGGGGUAGGAGUGAAAUCCUGUAAUCCUCGAGGGACCACCUGUGGCGAAGGCGCCUCACCAGAACGGCUUCGACAGUGAGGGACGAAAGCUGGGGGAGCAAACCGGAUUAGAUACCCGGGUAGUCCCAGCCGUAAACGAUGCGCGUUAGGUGUAUCGGUGACCACGAGUCACCGAGGUGCCGAAGGGAAACUGUGAAACGUGCCGCCUGGGAAGUACGGUCGCAAGGCUGAAACUUAAAGGAAUUGGCGGGGGAGCAC